CUCAGGACGAACGCUGGCGGCGUGCCUAAUACAUGCAAGUCGAGCGAACCACUUCGGUGGUUAGCGGCGGACGGGUGAGUAACACGUGGGCAACCUGCCUGUAAGACUGGGAUAACUUCGGGAAACCGGAGCUAAUACCGGAUAAUCCUUUUCCUCUCAUGAGGAAAAGCUGAAAGACGGUUUCGGCUGUCACUUACAGAUGGGCCCGCGGCGCAUUAGCUAGUUGGUGAGGUAACGGCUCACCAAGGCGACGAUGCGUAGCCGACCUGAGAGGGUGAUCGGCCACACUGGGACUGAGACACGGCCCAGACUCCUACGGGAGGCAGCAGUAGGGAAUCUUCCACAAUGGACGAAAGUCUGAUGGAGCAACGCCGCGUGAGCGAUGAAGGCCUUCGGGUCGUAAAGCUCUGUUGUUAGGGAAGAACAAGUACCGGAGU
rnacentral:rRNA from 1 species